UUGUUACCCUCAGUUUCUUUCCUGUCUCCUGGUGGCCCUUACAUCACAGUGUCCUUUCCAAAUGAGGACGUUAUUCCCUUUACUGCCCAUCAUUGCUACUCCUGAUGGAAUUGGAGGAGUUGCUGCCAGGACUCUAGUCCCCUGUGAGGGCUGGCACCUGGCCUCCACAGAACUCCCAGCUCCAGCUGUCCCACAGUGAGAACCAAUGGGUGCAAUGGGAACCAAGAGUGCCGCUAACUACAGAGCAUGAGGGCUGGCCCAAAGUCUGCAAUUAUGAAAGAAUAGAAGUUUUCCUCCAGCUGCUCUUAUUUUGCUGAAUGAAAUGCUGGAUUGUGUGGCUUGUCCAGAGAAGACUUGGCCCUUCCCUUCCUUACAUAGGACCCAAUCCUGCAUCCAUUAAAGGCUCGAUCCAAUGCUCAUUGAAAUCAAAUGGGGACCUUUCCGUUGACUUCAAUGGGCAUUGGAUCGGUCCUUAGAUCAAUGUCAAAACUUUCAUUGACUUCAGCGGGUGUGUGACUGGGCCCUCAGAGAGAAAUGCACUUUGCUUUCGUUCGAAGAGAAGAAUUCCAUGUGUAUUUUGAGUCUGCACAAAGCAGACGCAGCCUGUAUCUGUAAGAGUAAGAUGAUUCAGCCAGAAUAAAGAUUAUCCUUUGGGGCUCACUUGUAUACACCCUUUCCCCCUGUUAUUUUUAACCUCUCUUGUUUUUCCUGCAGCUCAUGGACUCCUGGAUGCAGUCCAGGGAAGCUUGCCGGCGGGAGAGGGCUGUAUGGAGCAGCAUACUGCUCCUAAACUUCGUGGCCACAGAAAUCAAACUGGAUGAAGCGUCUCCAUUCACCAGGCUCGGACACCUGGUUGCAGUGCUGGGGAUCCGCUGUGGGGAUCCCGUCAAGGCGAUCAGCUCAAAGGCAGCAGAGGCUGUUCAUUACCUCGUCUCUAUUGCGUGGCACCAAAAGAGUAAGAGAAGCACUGAUGAGCAUCUGAAUCCCCCUCCUGGGAGCUAAAUGCUAGAGACUUUCCUCAGGCAAAGCUC
rnacentral:lncRNA from 1 species